rnacentral:rRNA from 1 species
UACGUAGGGGGCUAGCGUUGUCCGGAUUUAUUGGGCGUAAAGAGCUCGUAGGCGGUUUGUCGCGUCUGCCGUGAAAGUCCGGGGCUCAACUCCGGAUCUGCGGUGGGUACGGGCAGACUAGAGUGAUGUAGGGGAGACUGGAAUUCCUGGUGUAGCGGUGAAAUGCGCAGAUAUCAGGAGGAACACCCGUAGCGAAGGCGGCACUCUGGGCCGGAACUGACGCUGAGGAGCGAAAGCGUGGGGAGCGAACAGG